UAUCUGUAAGGUGUCCUUCGGGACUAUGAACAUAAACGCGCUUGUAAUAAGCGGAUUGGACCCGGGGGCGGUACCCGGCGACUCCACCAACUAUCUGCUCAUUUGGCAGCUGUGGGGUCGAAAUAGGAUCGACGAACGUCUAAAGAGGUUAGCUUUGUUUCGGUGAGUUACCACCGUUAUCGGUACAAAUUGUAUAGUUGCAAAUGACAACCGUGCUCCGGCUAUGGCGGUGGCUGCGUAAGCAGUCUUCGUUGCCGAAACUUAAGUCCUUAGGCCUAGCAGCUUAAGGCGGGGUUCGCAGGUACCUGGCAACAGAAACCUG
rnacentral:tmRNA from 1 species